rnacentral:rRNA from 1 species
AGAGUUUGAUCCUGGCUCAGAACGAACGCUAGCGGUAAGCUUAAUACAUGCAAGUCGAACGGCUUUAAUUAUAAAUACUUGUAUUUAUAAUUAAGGUAGUGGCGGACUGGUGAGUAAUGUAUGAGAAUCUACCUAGUAGUGGGGAAUAAGCACGCUAACGCGUGUCUAAUACCGCAUAAGUCCUACGGGAGAAAGAAAUUUAAUUUCGCUACUAGAUGAGCUCAUAUCUGAUUAGGUUGUUGGUUAGGGUAAAAGCCUACCAAGCCUAUGAUCAGUAGCUGAUCUGAGAGGAUGAUCAGCCACACUGGGACUGAGAUACGGCCCAGACUCCUAUGGGAGGCAGCAGUAGGGAAUAUUGGACAAUGAGCGAAAGCUUGAUCCAGCUAUACCGCGUGGACGAUGAAGGCCUAAGGGUUGUAAAGUCCUUUCAUCAGGGAAGAUAAUGACGGUACCUGAAGAAGAAGUCCCGGCUAACUCCGUGCCAGCAGCCGCGGUAAUACGGGGGGGGCAAGCGUUGUUCGGCAUUAUUGGGCUUAAAGGGCGCGUAGGCUUAUUAGUAAGUCGAUAGUUAAAUGCAGAUGCUCAACAUCUGACCUGCUAUUGAUACUGCUAGUAUAGAGUUUGGGAUAGGUGAACAGAAUUUCGAGUGGAGAGGUGAAAUUCAUAGAUAUUCGAAGGAAUACCGGUAGCGAAGGCGGUUCACUGGAACAACACUGACGCUGAGGCGCGAAAGCGUGGGUAGCAAACAGGAUUAGAUACCCUGGUAGUCCAUGCUGUAAACGAUGAGAGCUAAUUGUCGGCUAUAAUUAGUCGGUGAUGCAGCGAAAGCAUUAAGCUCUCCGCCUGGGGAGUACGGUCGCAAGAUUAAAACUCAAAGGAAUUGACGGGGGCCCGCACAAGCGGUGGAGCAUGUGGUUUAAUUCGAAGCAACGCGAAAAACCUUACCUACUUUUGCAUCCCAAUCGUAGAUUGUAGAGAUACAUUCGUCAGUUAGGCUGGAUUGGUGACAGGUGCUGCACGGCUGUCGUCAGCUCGUGUCGUGAGAUGUUGGGUUAAGUCCCGCAACGAGCGCAACCCUCAUUACUAUUUGCUAACAGGUUAUGCUGAGAACUUUAGUAAGACUGCCGGUUUUAAGCUGGAGGAAGGAGAGGACGACGUCAAGUCAUCAUGGCCCUUAUGAGUAGGGCUACACACGUGCUACAAUGGUUCGUACAAAGAGACAAUCUUUAAAACUUACCUUAGUUCGGAUUACCCUCUGCAACUCGAGGGUAUGAAGCUGGAAUCGCUAGUAAUCGCAAAUCAUCAUGUUGCGGUGAAUACGUUCUCGGGCCUUGUACACACCGCCCGUCACACCGUGAAAAUUGAUCUUGCUUUAAGCAGGAUUGCUAACUAUUUUUAUAGAGGCGUCCUUCUAAAGUGUGGUUGGUAAUUAUGGUGAAGUCGUAACAAGGUAGCCGUAGGAGAACCUGCGGCUG